AUUGAACGCUGGCGGCAUGCCUUACACAUGCAAGUCGAACGGCAGCACGGGAGCAAUCCUGGUGGCGAGUGGCGAACGGGUGAGUAAUGUAUCGGAACGUGCCCAGGCGUGGGGGAUAACGUAGCGAAAGCUACGCUAAUACCGCAUACGAUCUAUGGAUGAAAGCGGGGGAUCGCACGACCGCGCGCGAUUGGAGCGGCCGAUAUCAGAUGAGGUAGUGGGUGGGGUAAAGGCUCACCAAGCCGACGAUCUGUAGCUGGUCUGAGAGGACGACCAGCCACACUGGGACUGAGACACGGCCCAGACUCCUACGGGAGGCAGCAGUGGGGAAUUUUGGACAAUGGGCGCAAGCCUGAUCCAGCAAUGCCGCGUGCAGGAUGAAGGCCUUCGGGUUGUAAACUGCUUUUGUACGGAGCGAAAAGGCUCUCUCUAAUACAGGGGGCUCAUGACGGUACCGUAAGAAUAAGCACCGGCUAACUACGUGCCAGCCGCCGCGGUAACAC
rnacentral:rRNA from 1 species